UCCUCACGCAAAUGUGGACCAACCUCUUCAAACCUCUUCAAAACACCUCUCUCUUUCAAAACACCUGCACAUCUUCAAACCUCAAACCCUAGCACCCAUCUCAACUUCCAUCCGACACCUCACCUCCUCCGCCACCCCUUCCACCUCCGCCGCCCCUCCACCUUCGCCGCCCCUCCACUCGUUCACCCAGGUACGAAUCAUAUCUCAAUACGAACAAGAUUAAACACCAGAAUCCCCUAGGGUUUUGUUCGAUCCUCCAUGGCUGCUACACAAUCUCUUUCACUACUUCACAUCUCACCUUCAUAUUCAUCUUUCGGUUACUGGAAUUCACACACUUCUUCCUUCUUCACGCCUACGGUUAGAUUAUUCAUCGGAGUUCAGCUCUCAAUUCAGCCUUUGAGUUACCGGAGUAAACCUUCUCGUCGUUAUUCCUCCAUCGUUGCAACUGUUUCUUCCACUGCUGCAACUCCGUUCGACUCCCACUCUCUCCAUUAUUUUCUGCGGCAUCCAGGUGAAGGACGAAUACGGGUGGCGCUGAUUCGUAUUGGAUAGGAACCGAGGUUUUAUCGAUUAUUCUAUUGUCGUGCCUUCGGGCGAGUGAAGGUCGGGUUUUCGCGCAUCUAGGAGAGCCAAGGGGCUGACGGCGAUCGAGUAGUCGAUCUUGACCGUAACACUCGGUAUCACAGCGGUUGGCACGUCAUUCCUUGCCUUUCAAAAAAAUGUCCCACAAGUAAUAUAAAUAAAUUUGCUAAAAGAAAUGAAAAAAAAAGGGAACACCUCCAGCAAGAAGCUUAAAAUUGCCAGCCCAGCCCAGCCCAGUUAGUAAUAGCAGCCCAAUGAUGUUUUGACAAUAUUAUAUUGGUCAACGGUCAAAACCCAGGUGUGCAACGCUGUCGGUUUUGAAACCUCAUAAACCCUAAACUCGUUCAUCUUCUUCGCGAAACUUCUUGUAAAAAAUGGAGAAAUCUGAAGCUGUUUGCGGACAAGAAGCACUGGAAUUGCUCAACUGCGUCACCAGCUCACCUUUCGAUCAAGACAAAUGCAUUACGCUCUUGAAUUCACUACGGAAAUGCGUUCUAGACAAGAAAGUGAAGAAGUUCUCAUUGGCGGAAGUGAAACCAGCAAAAGUUGAGGACAAGCAGGGCUGACAUUUUAUCUUCAAUUGAGAUUAUAAGAUAAAUGAUUUAAGCAUUGUUGAUAAGAUAAAUGAUUUAAGCAUUGUUGAUAAGAUAAAUGAUUUAAGCAUUGUUGUUCAACAUAUAACUUGGCUUACAAAUGAGAAAUUGCAUCUUUGUUUUGAAGUUAUUCUAGUGCAAGCAUUUUUUUCUACAGUA